GUCGAGGGGAAUGACGCCGGAUCCGAAAGAGAGACGCAUGGCGUGCGUGUGGCGCGUUUCGGACCAGGCUUCAUUCCCCAUGAC
rnacentral:pre_miRNA from 9 species